GAUGAAGAACGUAGCGAAAUGUGAUAAGUAAUGUGAAUUGCAGAAUUCAGUGAAUCAUCGAAUCUUUGAACGCACAUUGCGCCCGCGAGUAUUCUCGCGGGCAUGCCUGUCCGAGCGUCAUUUCAACCCUCAGGGCCCGCCUGCUUCGGCAGGCGCGGCGCUGGUGUUGGGGAUCGGCCUAACCGCCGUCCCCCAAAUACAGUGGCGGUCUCGCUGCAGCCUCCCCUGCGUAGUAGCAACACUCGCAUGCGGAGCGCGGCGCGGCCACGACGUAAAACCCCCGACUUUCUGAACGUUGACCUCGGAUCAGGUAGGAAUACCCGCUGAACUUAAGCAUAUCAAUAAGCGGAGGA
rnacentral:misc_RNA from 1 species